rnacentral:rRNA from 1 species
AUGGUGAUGGGGGUCGCCUCCCUCCUCCCUCCCCUCGACGCCCUCCAUGGUGAUGGCUCUGUUCCCUCGACGCCCGGCGGUCAUCCUCCCUUAGGCCACUCGCCCAACUUCGUCCUCCCACAGCAGCUCACCCGCCCCUCCUCCUCCUCCUCCCCGACACGCCUCUUCUUCUCGUCGUCCAUAGGUACAUCUGAACCUCCUCCUCCUCCCAUCGAUCCUUCGCUUCCCCGCGAUUGCAGCAUGGUGGUCGUCGGCUCCGCGGACACCUUCGAGGACAUCCAUGCCAAAGUGCAACUGGAGAAGCUCCCUGCCAUCUUCUACUACACGGCUGUCUGGUGUGGGUCGUGUCGGGCGAUGGCACCUGUGAUCGAGAAGAUGAGCAGGCAGUACCCCAAGAUGCCCGUGUACAAGGUGGACAUCGACAUGGUUAUUGCUAUGAAGUUUAGUGACUUGCACAUCGCUGCAUUAUCUCCAUCGAUCCAUUUAUGGGCUGGUGCAAGCAUCUCGGAGUUGGAACAUUCGCUUUGA